UACGAAGGGGGCUAGCGUUGCUCGGAAUCACUGGGCGUAAAGGGUGCGUAGGCGGGUCUUUAAGUCAGGGGUGAAAUCCUGGAGCUCAACUCCAGAACUGCCUUUGAUACUGAGGAUCUUGAGUUCGGGAGAGGUGAGUGGAACUGCGAGUGUAGAGGUGAAAUUCGUAGAUAUUCGCAAGAACACCAGUGGCGAAGGCGGCUCACUGGCCCGUAACUGACGCUGAGGUGCGAAAGCGUGGGGAGCAAACAGG
rnacentral:rRNA from 1 species